rnacentral:lncRNA from 10 species
AAAGAAAGAAAGAAAGAAAGAAAGAAAGAAAGAAAGAAAGAAAGAAAGAAAGAAAGAAAGAAAGAGAGAAAGAAAAGAAAAGAAAAGAAAAAGAAGGAAGGAAGUAAGAAAAAGAAAGAAAGAAAUAGGGAGAUGGAAAGGGAAAGGAAGAAGGAAGGAAGGACAAAAGAAACAGUAGCAACAUUUUACAAAUGUUAAAUGGUUAACAAUGCUCUUUCAUUUAUCCUCAGUUCUCUUCAACAUGUCAUAUGAUUUCCUACGUGCUACAAUACUACAAUAAUAUUCCAUGUUUCUUUAAAACCAUCGGAAAUUUGCUUGUGGAAAUAGGUGUCAGUUUGGGGCUUAUUGUAAAGGUGUAGCAAGAGGAUUAUUAGAAAUUUGACAGAAAGUUUUAAUCACAGAUGUGAUUGACUGUGGCUCAUACCAAACGCAGUACACCAAGGUAUCUGGGAGAUGCUUGAGUUAUGUAUAUGUGUGCAUUUUUUGUGGUCCCCUACAGCUCAGUUCAGUUGAGUACUAUUUUGUUCAUUUAUCCAGUAUUUCUAAUGGACAAAGUCAAAUAUAAGCAAAUGCAGUAUUUCUACUAUGCUUUUUUUCCUAAAAUAUCAAUUAUCUUAGAACCAAUUUUCAUUUUUAAAACCAGCAUUAUAAGAAAACUGACUAUAAUUAAAAAUGAGUCUUUAGUGUGCAAGAGUUACAAAUUUUGCCUAAAAGGUCAAAACUUUGUUAAGGAAAUAGACAUUAAAUAAAUCAUCAAUUGAAGUAUGAUGAGAUUUUAUGAAACAGAACUACAAAACAUUACAGGAAUAAAUGCAGGGGUGCUUAUUUGGUCUGGGACAGAGAUGGGCACUCUGGGCCUAUGGAAUUUACACUGAGACUUUAAGUGUAUGCAGGAGUUGGGGAAGUGAAUGAACAAAGAUAGUGUUACUGGCAGAGAGAAGAUCAAGUUUCAGAGCUUCAAGGCAAAAUAAUGCAGCAUGUUCUAGACAACAGAUGGAAGUUUAGUAAUUUUGCAAUAUAAUCUUAAGAGAAAACUAGCAGCAAAUGGGGUAGUAAAUUUAGAAGGGGCUGAGAUAAAUAUUACACAUAAGCAUCUAUGAAAAGGAGUGAACUUCAUUCUAAAAUCAGUGCAUACCUUUAAGUCUUUAAACAAAGAAAUAUUAAAUAAACUGUUUUAAUUAUCAUGUGUAUAGUUUGGAGAACAAUUUGGAUUACAGCAAGAUUAGAAACAAAUGUGGCAGAGUUUAUCAGCUGAUAACACACAACAAAAAAGCUUUCUUCUAAGAACAGUGCUACAUUAUUUUCCAGGCUUCCUUCACUUGAUUCAGGGAAGUGACCAUUUUAUUUUAUUUUUUUCAAAGAGAAUGUGAGUGGAAACUAUACGAGCUGCUAACGGGACAAGGCAUUUAAGAAUCAUCCGAGUUCUGCUCUUCUUGCUGGCUGGAGCUAAGAAUUCAAGAACAAACACCAGCAAAGAGAUUCAAUACAAAUAUCCAAUUUUGAGAUAAGGGAUGGAUAACCAUAGUGUGAGUUGAGCCACAGAAAUGUGGAUGAAUUCAAUAAAUAUUUGGAUGAUUGUUUAACAUUACUUCAUAAUUGAUGGGAAUAAAAAAGUAUAACAAAGAGAAGAAAUCAAGGCUGCAGCAUGACAAAAGGCAUGCCCUCAGAACUUUUAAUCUUUAUGAAACAUUUGAAGACCUCGAGAAAGGACAAUACCCUUGGUUCUAUACAGAUGCUGUCAUGAAUUCAUCUUAUAUCAGUUUCAUAAAUCUGAGAAAACAAACUAGAGAGAAGGCAACACAUAUUUCAUUUUAGCUGUGAGCAACUUCCAUUGUGAAUCAAGGAUUCAUUCAAAAUACAUCUGGUAUGAGGUUUUGCUUUUCACAGAAUGGCAACAUCUAACCUCAUCACACAGGUGAGGACAAAGCAAUUGUAUCUUUUAGAGAGGUACACAUUUUAAAACUUCAGAUGUGAGUUUUCAGAUGUAGGAAAAAAAGCUUUGUAAUUUCUCCUAUAAAAAAGCCACCACUCACCUAUAUCUUGGGUGUGCUACAUGAAGCACACCAAGGAAUAUGAAGUUCAACUCUGUGAUUAUGAUUUUCAAAUGUUAAAUAAAU